AGAAUAUUUAAAGGCAAUCAAUGUAAAAGUAAAAGAUGAUAUUCACGAAAAUAACCAAGAGAACAAGUAUAAACACCAGAAUAAUAAUUCCCAUGCUGAGAAUAAGAAUAUAUAUACAAAGUAUAAACAGCUCUAAAAAAGAUAAAAAAAUCAAAGCAAAGAAUCUAAAAGAAGAUCAAGAUAUAAUUCUAUUUAAUAAUCUAAUUUCACCUACCAAAUUUAAAGAAGGAGGAGCAGCCAUAUUUGAUGAUCUUAAAAGAAAUCAUCAUAAAGCCAUUCUUGGCAUCAAAUUAAUUAUACCCUUGUUAAUUAAUAAUCUUCGUCUACCUAAACGUUCAUAAAUAAUAUUAGAUAAACAAAAUAAACCAGAAGAACAUAAACCAUGACCAACCAUUAGAGAAAGAGAACCUACACAACCUCAUCAAUUCAUAGUCAUCAAUACACCAAUAACCAUUCUUAUAUGAGCAACAGAAGAAUAUGCAAUUAAAGACUUUAAAUCAACCUGACGAAAACAAAUAAAUCUUACAAUAACACCCCCAGAUAAACCUAAAGACAAUCAAAAAUAAUUAAACUUUAAACCCAAAUAAGAAAUAACCUUUAUAACACGAAAAAUACCAUAACCACCUAACUUUAAUAAAACACCAGCAAGAAUUAUUCUACCUGAAAUAGGGGCCUCUACAUGAGCCUUAGGAAGUCAUAAAUGAACCAAAAACAUAGGUAUCUUAACUAAAAAAGCCAAAAUUAUAAAUACAUAAAACAUAAAAUAAUAAGAACCAAAAUCAACCAAUAAAGGAAAAUACAAAGUAUUAGAAAAAUCAUAAACCUUAAAUAAAACUAAUAAUAAAGGUAAUCUAGCAACCAAAGUAUAAAAAAUUAAAUAAACACCAGCCUGCAAACGCUCAGGUUGAUAACCCCAACCCAAAAUUAAAAGUAAAGUAGGAACUAAUCUAGCCUCAAAAAAAAUAUAAAAAGAAAGAAGACUUAAUCUAGCAAAUGAACAAUAAAGCAUAAUUAUUAAAAUCAAAACCAUAAAAACAAAAAAAU